UAACCUCAACUGAUCUCAACAUCAAGUCCUAUGGCACAACCACCUCCUGUGACAAACCCCCAGUGUGGAAGCUCCUCAAGGUGUUAACUGGGGUGUGGUUUUUGAGCACUGGUGGUGUUGAAGGCAAUCCGGGGAUUGACACCAUUGUCAAUUGGUUUAAGAUUGAGAAGGCUGAGAAAGACUAUGUGAUUUCUUUCUGUCCCUCAGUGUGCAAAUGCCAGACUUUGUGUAGGGAACUUGGGUUAUAUGUUGGUGAUGAUGGAAACAAGCAUUUGUCU
rnacentral:lncRNA from 1 species